rnacentral:rRNA from 1 species
AACGAACGCUGGCGGUAGGCCUAACACAUGCAAGUCGAACGCGAAAGUCCUUCGGGAUGAGUAGAGUGGCGGACGGGUGAGUAACGCGUAGGAAUCUAUCCUGUAGUGGGGGAUAACGUUUCGAAAGGAACGCUAAUACCGCAUACGCCCCACGGGGGAAAGCGGGGGAUCUUCGGACCUCGUGCUAUAGGAGGAGCCUGCGUCGGAUUAGCUAGUUGGUGAGGUAAAGGCUCACCAAGGCGACGAUCCGUAGCUGGUCUGAGAGGAUGAUCAGCCACACCGGAACUGCGACACGGUCCGGACUCCUACGGGAGGCAGCAGGGGCGAAUAUUGCGCAAGGGGCGAAAGCCUGACGCAGCCAUACCGCGUGUGUGAAGAAGGCCUUCGGGUUGUAAAGCACUUUCAGGGGGGAGGAAAAGCUGGUGGCUAAUAUCCAUCGGCCGUGACGCUACCCACAGAAGAAGCACCGGCUAAUUCCGUGCCAGCCGCCGCCGUAA